UGCAGUGAAAUCCAUUCUCCCUCCCUUUGUGCUCCCCUUGCAGUCCUGGCUGGUGCAGUCAUUUGUCCUCCCUGCCUGGUGCUGUGAUAUGGGCUCUCUCUGCUGUAUGUCAGUCCUGAGCCCCAGCGCUGCCAUCCCCAGGCACAGGGACUGUCCUGUGCCAUGAAUGCUCACGGGCUCACUGCCAUACCACUCUGUCUGUCCCUGUCCUGUUUGCCAGCAGCCCCAGAGCUUUUUCCCUCCUCUAUCAGCAUCUGUCCCUGGGAGAAGUGACAGCACUGUCCCUGCUGAUGGAUGAGCUCCAUGCAGCGCAGUGUCAGCCCAACCAGGUGGGGCUGUUUGCCUGCAGCUCAGCAGAGGGGCUGGAGCUGAUUUGGAAAUGUCAGCAUGCCAGCAGCAUGGCGCUGGGGGGAGCAGCAGCAGUAUAAUAAACCCAGAGCCUUGUGCUGUCCUCCAGGCUUCCUUUGCUGUCAGACCCCUGCAUUGGCACCCUCAGAGGGACUUUUUGGGACCCCUACCCAAGCGCAGGCUUUCUGUUUUGAAGAGGGGUUGCAGCCACGCUCUGCUGCUGCUGCACCAAAGGAUAUUGGCCGUACCCAUGGCACUGCUUCCUUCUUGCUUUGCUGAGUGUAGGGGACAGGGGACAUCUUCACCUUCCACCACAGCGUGCCCUGUGCUGGGGCUGCUGGGGGAGGGCCCAGGUCCUCUGCGUCAAUCGUUUCCAUCUGGUCCUUGCAGGAGUCUGGGGAGAGCUAUCUAGAGAAGGCUGAGAAGAUGUACUCUCAGAUGUGCUCAACGAGAGAAAAGAACCUGAUGGGAGACCAGGAGCAUCUGACGAUCCAGGUGAGCGAGCUGGAAGAGGAGGUGAGCACCCUCCGGAAAAUCAACAAGAACCUCUUUGACUUCUCCGCUCGCAUCAUCACCAAGCCAGCCAAAUGAGGAGGCAGCCCCCAGCCCUCCCCCUCCCCCCCCCCCCUCGCCUCUCUCUGCCCAGCUCCUGGGGAAGAACAGCCAGCCCAUGGGCACAUCAGAUGGGCAAGCACGUGUGGCUCGCAUCCUCACCAGCGCCUGUCAGGCCACGUAACACACAAAGGAACGUUUGCCUACUCCCUCUGGCAUCCCUUUGACCACACAGGACUGAGAUGGGGCACGGGGGGCUGUGGGGCUGCGUGUGGUCCCAGCUGGCUGCCUGCAGGAUGGCACAGGGAUGGGGCUGAGCAGUGCAGCUGCAGUGCAGACAACUGCGGGCAGAGCGUCCCCGGCUGCGCUGCCCUUCAGGAUGCAGCUCCUGCUCUUCUCCUCUCUCUUCCCCUGGCCUUUUUAUGUUUCUUUUUGUUACAUGACCCUGCGGCGCAGACAGAAAAUUGGGUUUUCACCUCUCUGAAUGCCAGUUUGAGAUUGGAUUUUAGAGACACCUUCUGCCCACCCCUGGCUGGGAGAUGCUGCUCACUGGACCCUUUGCAUCCCGGACCCCGCUUGGGGCUCGGUUUGCUCCCACGCAGCGGGGGCUGUGCAGCUCCUGCCCUCUCAUGGGCACCCCCAGCCAUCAGUGGGGGCACUGAGCCUGAAGCUGUGGGCCCUGCCCCCCUCGGGGGGCUCUGUGUGUGUCUGGGCAGGGGAAGCAUGGUGCUAUUUCCGAUCUCGUAUGUUGACAAUUUAUAUAUAUUUGGAUCCAGCUAUUUUGUUUUCCACGGUGUUCUGGGGAAAUCAGCCUUUUGUAUUGUCACUAGCAUGGCAGUGGGGGUGUUGUGGGUUUUCUUUAGGUUUAUUUUUUACAUAAAAGAUUUGUUUUUUAUA